UACGGGGGGAGCAAGCGUUGUUCGGAUUUACUGGGCGUAAAGGGUGCGCAGGCGGUCUCGUAAGCUGGGUGUGAAAGCCCCGGGCUUAACCUGGGAAUGGCAUUCAGGACUGCGAGGCUUUGAGUGUGGCAGAGGGAGGUGGAAUUCCACGUGUAGCAGUGAAAUGCGUAGAGAUGUGGAGGAACACCGAUGGCGAAGGCAGCCUCCUGGGCCAGCACUGACGCUCAUGCACGAAAGCGUGGGGAGCAAACAGG
rnacentral:rRNA from 1 species